rnacentral:lncRNA from 1 species
UCACAAGGAAAGCUCGGGUGGAGGCUUACAGUAGAAAUCCGACGCGGACCGCUCGUAGUAGAAAUUUGAAGUAGACCGCUUGUAGUAGUAGCUCGGAGUAGAUCACUUGUAGCAGAAGCUCGGAGUAGAUCGCUUGUAGCAGAAGCUCGGUGUAGAUCGCUUGUGGUGGGGGCUCGGAGUCCGGCCCUUGUAAGAAUUCGGAUGAAGUCUACC